CCUACGGGAGGCAGCAGUGGGGAAUAUUGGGCAAUGGAGGCAACUCUGACCCAGCAACGCCGCGUGAAUGAAGAAGGUCUUAGGAUUGUAAAGUUCUUUAAUUGGUGACGAAACAAAUGACGGUAGCCAAAGAAUAAGCCACGACUAACUACGUGCCAGCAGUCGCGGUAAU
rnacentral:rRNA from 1 species